rnacentral:rRNA from 1 species
AGUUGCGGAUCCGGCGCAAUUGCGCUCCCGAUCCCAUCCCGAACUCGGAAGUGAAACGCAGCCGCGCCGAUGGUAGUGUGCACCUCGCAUGCAAGAGUAGGUCACCGCCAGGG